ACUUCUUACUUCUUGUUAGUUUCCUCCAAAUUGCCCUUUGGAGUUUUCAGCUGUCAAUCAUUAACAGACGCGGGACUGAUUAAACUUUCAAAAUACAGACUGCCCUUGAACUUCACCACUGGUCUCCUCAGUUUCCUUUCACCACUCUAGAGUUAUGAAGAACUGCAGUGGGUUUAUACGUUUAUUAAUGGAACAGAUUUGAAGACUGCAACUGACGUGGCCCUGGACAAGUUUUUUGAUUAUUCACAGUUUAAUAAUGCUGCAGAUACGAUUGUUCCCAUCUCUGCUCCUUGUGAGGUUUCUGCCCCAUUUGACAACGGCGAUAUAAAUCAGGAAUAUUCAUUUCUCAUUUCUCUGCCACUUGAAGUCCAAAGUCUACCUGAACCAAGUGACCCAUCAGUUCAUGUUAUCCAUGGUUUGGAGAAGAUUGUUUACGUCAGAUUGUUCACAGGACAUACCAGGAGAAAACUGAAGACUUUGAGCGUCUCGCCAAUGAAUUCAAGAAUGACUUGGAAAAUGAUCAGCGUGCCUUUUACAGCAACCGUGUCUAUCUGGGAAGGUUCAACAAACAUGGACUAUUUCAGAUACACAAAAAUGCUGGAGAAACUCAGCGGGUGCAGCAGCAUCUAUGGAGCGAAGGAAAUAGGCAACGUUUCGGGCCGAAACCCUUCUUCAGACUGACCUCUGGACUAUUUCAGAUUGGGUUCCAAAAAAAGUAAAACAGAAUUUAUCUCUCAGAUGUUGUGCUACAUUUGCAGAUUUAAAAAACAGUGAGAUGUGCUAAACUCUAUUCUUAACUUUAACAAGGUUCUCCCAACAUCUACAAGUCGGUGGGUAUUUUUAAGGAGGAGAUUCACAGGUUCUUGAUCAGUACGGGUGUCAAAGGUUAUGGGGAGAAGGCAGGAGAAUGGGGUUAGGAGGGAGAGAUAGAUCAGCCCUGAUUGAAUGGCGGAGUAGAUUUGAUGGGCCAAAGGCCUAAUUCUGUUCUGAGGAUUUAUGAACAUUUACAACAUGUGGUCUGGAUUGUGGAGAGUGUAAUCCCUGGGUGCUGUAGGAAAAGCAACUCAUUGACCGGAGGAGCUACUAGUGGGCCAUUGCUCCUGUUAACACCAGUCCAUUCUCAGCUGCUCUUGCGGCAUUAAUAAGCUCUUGUCUCUAGAUUAUUUGCAUGUGUUUUGUUUUCCAAACUACUGGGGAUGUAUUCUCACUGUGAAAUAAAGAGGGUGAUGCAUCACAACACUGGGUCUCUGGGUCGAUUCUUACUCAGAAACAGAACUGGUCACUGAUCACAUCUCCAGUCCCACAGUGACGCCUUGGCUCAGCACACUGUUGGAGAGAUGCACGGUAUGUUGCCCUUCACUGGAGGAGGACAAAACCCACUUGCUCCAAUUGUACACAACUUUGUUGACAUCGCGAUUCCAGUCAGAAGAAAAUAAGUCUGUCCUCAAAAUCCUAUCUCCUAAUUUUAGUCUGCAGUUAAUCAAACGGUACAUUUAAUCAAACAGUAUAGAUUUAGUAAACAAAAAACUGCAGAUGCUGGUUUAUUUAAAGAAAGACACAAAGUGCUGGAGUAAUCAGCGGGCCAGGCAGCAUCUCUGGAGAACAUGGAUAGGUGACGUUUCGGG